rnacentral:rRNA from 2 species
CAAGGCUUGACAUACUUGAGAAGCCACCAGAGAUGGUGGUCUCUUUGGACACUCAUGUACAGGUGGUGCAUGGUUGUCGUCAGCUCGUGUCGUGAGAUGUUGGGUUAAGUCCCGCAACGAGCGCAACCCUCGUCCUAUGUUGCCAGCACGUCAUGGUGGGGACUCAUAGGAGACUGCCGGGGUCAACUCGGAGGAAGGUGGGGAUGACGUCAAAUCAUCAUGCCCCUUAUGUCUUGGGCUUCACGCAUGCUACAAUGGCCGGUACAAAGGGCUGCGAUACCGCGAGGUGGAGCGAAUCCCAGAAAGCCGGUCUCAGUUCGGAUUGGGGUCUGCAACUCGACCCCAUGAAGUCGGAGUCGCUAGUAAUCGCAGAUCAGCAAUGCUGCGGUGAAUA